rnacentral:misc_RNA from 1 species
GAUGAAGAACGUAGCGAAAUGCGAUAAGUAAUGUGAAUUGCAGAAUUCAGUGAAUCAUCGAAUCUUUGAACGCACAUUGCGCCCGCCAGUAUUCUGGCGGGCAUGCCUGUUCGAGCGUCAUUUCAACCAUCAAGCCCCCCGGCUUGUGUUGAGGACCUGCGGCUGCCGCAGGCCCUGAAAAGCAGUGGCGGGCUCGCUGUCACACCGAGCGUAGUAGAUCUCAUCUCGCUCAGGGCGUGCUGCGGGUUCCGGCCGUUAAACCACCUUCAUAACCCAAGGUUGACCUCGGAUCAGGUAGGAAGACCCGCUGAACUUAAGCAUAUCAAUAAGCGGAGGA